UAAAACUUAAUUUUUUUUCAGAUGAUAGUCCUGUUUUGCAGAAUACAUCAACAUAUAAUUCCAUUACAAGAAAAUUAGUGAAUGAAUCACAUGGUCUCUUUUUAAAUUUACAAGUUCUCUCUCAGCAAGAAAGUAACAAUGAAAAGAAAGAACAAUUGAUCAAAAUUAGCCAUAAAUACAGAUCUAUCUUAACAGAAUGUAUUUGUAAUCUAUCAAAAGUCACAG